rnacentral:rRNA from 1 species
CGUUCCCGGGCCUUGUACACACCGCCCGUCACACCAUGGGAGUUGGUUCGACCUUAAGCUGGUGCGCCAACCCGAAAGGGGGGUAGCCAAUCACGGUCGGGUUAGCGACUGGGGUG